rnacentral:lncRNA from 1 species
AUUCUGGCUGUUGAAGAAAGUCCUCUAACCAAAGGCAUUUCUAAUAGGAGCCGGGCUAGUCAGUAUAGCUGCUCUCUCAGGACUGAGCGCCCAACCUGGAGUUCUGAGAGGGGAAAACAGGACAGAACAAGAAAGCCCAAAGAGAUGGUACAACAUACCCUUUGCUCUUCUAAAGAAGCAUAAACCCUGCUUUCCUCUUGUGAUUGACAGAAUUCCACUAAAAUAAUGUAGUCUGGGUUUUUAUAUGAAAAUAAUUCUCUGAGAAAUGUGUGCCUUUGCCUUAUCCAAAGCACCCAGUGCACAAGACCUAACUGAAAUCACGGUUUCCAGUUGACAUCUUCAUGAGUGUGUAGUGGAGCCUGUCACGUGUUGGGGAUUCAGCCUUCAGCCUUCUCCUCAUCCUCUGGCUUCCUGCCCUGACACUGCAUCUCACCCUGCUCUUCAGCCUUGCCUUGCCUUGCCUUGCCUUGCCAUGUUCCACCUCUUCAACCCUGUUACAGACUCUCACACCCAGGAGUUCUGCUCUGUCUCUAUUUAUUUUGUAUUUUUACAAACUGUCAAGUAACUAUUUAUUUUUGGAGAUUAAGGUACUUAGUUUAAAUAAUACAUAAUUUCUUAUAUCAUCUAGCUAUUAUGGCAGACACAAUGAAAAGUAAGACAUAGCUCCUUCCUGCCAUCAAAGAGCUUGAACCCUUUAGAAACUGUGUCACAUGUGUGUCUAAUGUAAAUGUGUCACAUGUGUGUCUAAUGUAAAUGUGUUACAUGUGUGUCUAAUGUAAAUGUGUCACAUGUGUGUCUAAUGUAAAUGGAUCACUCAGGACAGGGCAGCUUGACUUCAGGAAAACAGGGUAGAUCUCGUGACCUCAGUGGCCAUGGAUUAUUCCUGGUAUAUCUUAGAUUAAUGGUCAGUUGAGUAGGUCACUCAUUAUAAGAAACAUUGAAAAGGAAAGCAGUAAUGACCAGUGUCCCUCACAUGUAUAGUUCUUAGUGAGAAAAACUCUUGCCUAAGAGGUGUUUUGUUUUGUUUUAUCUCAUGUGCUUCUAAACCUAGGAAUCAGUGGAUGUUGUAUUUACUAUGUGAAAUGUAUGUGAAAGUCUCCUGUGCAGCUUUCAAAGUCCUGUUCUGUUUUCUGAUUUCCUUGAUGAUCAGAAAACAGAAUUAUCAAUCUUGUCUUUUCUGCUGUGGUCUUUUGUAUUGAGAUUAACACUCAAAAAGAAAGGAGAGAUUUCUUGUUUCUGGCAGCUGCCCUGACAGGUCAGCACUGAUCCUACCCUGCUUGACCAGACUUGUUAAGGACUUUUUAUAAUACUAUUACAGCACUCCUUCUGUCUCCUCCUACC